GCAAGUCGAGGGGUAACAGGGUUGCUUGCAAUCGCUGACGACCGGCGCACGGGUGCGUAACGCGUAUGAAACCUACCUUUUACAGGGGGAUAGCCCAGAGAAAUUUGGAUUAAUACCCCAUAGUUCCUAGAUAUCGCAUGAUAUUAAGGAUAAAGCUUCGGCGGUAAGAGAUGGUCAUGCGUGACAUUAGCUAGUUGGUAAGGUAAUAGCUUACCAAGGCGACGAUGUCUAGGGGUUCUGAGAGGGUGAUC
rnacentral:rRNA from 1 species